rnacentral:lncRNA from 1 species
AAAAUAUUUAAUAUUUAUGUUUUCCAUUUCAGAAUUUUUAAACUCCACUGUAUGCUAUAAUAGAUAUCUAACAAAGCGAGAAGACUGCGUGAGCAAGUAUUCAAAAAGUAAAGAAACUGAUGCAAAGACUCUUUGUUGCUCGAAUCUGAACACUCUGAAAUGUCUCAGAAAAGAAAUGAAUGUGUGCCCUAAAUAUUCCACAGAUUUCGAGAACAAUGUGAUCGAGACAUACCGAAGCCCUCACAACGUCAUCUGCGCACCUUAUACCAGCCUCUGCAAUAGCGCAUCUACACAUCUAGUGUCUGCACUUGUUGUAUUGCUCGCUAUCAAAUUAGCCUUUGUGAAUUCAAUUCUAUAACAGAAAGAUUAUGCAUUUUUCAUAACUGUCUGUUCUCAAUAGAAUAGCUUUUGUUCCUGUGAAACAGCUGGAGGCAUUUCUGCAGUGAUAUUCAAGUGCUGACAGUGUCAAAAAUCUGAUGUCUGGAAAAAGUACUGUAAUGAUACUUAGAUGUUGAUGGUGCAAAAUCUCAGAAUGAAUAUAAAUUAUAAAACAAGUUUGUAUAUUGGAUAUUAAGCUAAUGAUACAAAUUAUAAAAUCAAUUUGUGUAUUUGGUAUUAAAAUCCAUAAUAAAAUUUAUUUAGUUUGAUGACUCAUUUAGACGAGUGGUGGCGAACCUAUGAUCCGCGAGUCAAACCCAUGAAGGCUUUUUAAAUGACCCACAGGUUGAUAUUUAUAAAUUUAUUUUUCAUCAUGAAAAACUGGACAGACAAUUGUAAAUAUUAAAAAAUUAAAGUAUAAAUAUCUAAUGUUGAAUUGAUAAAAAAAUAUUUCUAAGUGGACAUUGGCCAACUGAUUUUCUAUCAUUGUUCAAUCAACACUCAAGCCGCACAUCUUGCGUCUCCUCCGAUGAUUCAUUACACUUUUAAAUGUACAGGGGCCUGAAAGUUGUCUGAUACGACGCACCUAAUGCUCGUAUGAAGGAAAUGCUACAAAUGUAUAUAUUAUAACGAUAAUGGUAGAAAGAUUUGAGAAGAUUUAAUUAUUUUCUGAUUUCUUAUUCUUGUAUAAACUCUGUCUAAACUAUUCCAGUAAACUUUUCUCCCAAAUUAAAACUGUAAUAUUUUAGAGAAUGUUUCAUUGGAGUGGCUUUUUCUUUAUUAGAAACCAUGAUUUUCCUUAGCCGAAAAUGAAGUAAAUAUACUGAUUUUAAAUCGAGGACUCUGUUUUCAGUAUUAUACUCGUCUGAUAAAUUUUUAAUGACGUUGAUUUUCAUUUUAAUUCUGUUAGCAGCUUUAAACCUUUGCGAUGGAAUGAAAAUCUUUACAUGUCGUUUAAAACCUUUGCUCAAAGUUAGAAACGUGUAACAACAUUAUACAUAGAACAUACUAUGAUUCCAUUCCCACUCGAAUCCAAGCUGUAUUGCAUGCCAAAGGCUGUAUUAGUAAAGCAUUCCGUAUAAAUCUAGGAUAUUUCCGUUAUUUUGAUAACCAUCUGUACAUGCAACUAUGUUUAUUAAUGAAGAAUAUUUCAUAAUGAAAGCAAAAACAGAAAGGGCCAACUGUCAAGAUUUCUGUUAACAAAUUUUCAGUGUUUCCAAAUAUUACAGUUUUAAUUUGGGAGAAAAGUUUACUGGAAUAUUCGUACCUUUUUUAUCCCCCCUUUCAAGUAGCGCCAUUGACUUAGUCCCUUUCAAGUAGCUCCACUGACUUAGUACCAAACGUAGAUUCACUAGUAUAAUUCAGUGAAUUUAUGUCUGGUACAUAUUUAUAUAAAAUAUCUCUAAAUGAACUCCUGAUGUGGUGUUCUUGGAGAAUUAGGAGCUGCUUGUCCUAGACAGUUAUGGACUCCAGGCAAUACCUGAAUAGUCUGUGUAAGCCGGGUGUCUGGAGGCGGUUCCAUCUGUCACCUGACUUAGUGAUCCAAGCACUAGUAUUUAAAAAAAUAUGAAUAAAAUUUGACCCACUUCUUAAAAAGGUUCGCCAUCGCUGAUUUAGACUGACGACUGAUACAGUUGGUAGAUGUUAUAUUCAUUCACGAGAAUGUAAAGAUUUAAAAUGAAAUUAAUAAAAAUUUUAAUAAUGAAAAAA